rnacentral:rRNA from 1 species
GACGAACGCUGGCGGCGUGCCUAAUACAUGCAAGUCGAACGAGAGCGACCGGUGCUUGCACUGGUCAAUCUAGUGGCGAACGGGUGAGUAACACGUGGGUAACCUGCCCAUCAGAGGGGGAUAACAUCCGGAAACGGAUGCUAAAACCGCAUAGGUCUUCGAGCCGCAUGGCUUGAAGAGGAAAAGAGGCGCAAGCUUCUGCUGAUGGAUGGACCCGCGGUGCAUUAGCUAGUUGGUGAGGUAACGGCUCACCAAGGCAGUGAUGCAUAGCCGACCUGAGAGGGUGAUCGGCCACAUUGGGACUGAGACACGGCCCAAACUCCUACGGGAGGCAGCAGUAGGGAAUCUUCCGCAAUGGACGCAAGUCUGACGGAGCAACGCCGCGUGAGUGAAGAAGGUUUUCGGAUCGUAAAACUCUGUUGUUAGGGAAGAACAAGUGCUAGAGUAACUGUUAGCGCCUUGACGGUAUCUAACCAGAAAGCCACGGCUAACUACGUG